rnacentral:rRNA from 1 species
GUGUACCCGCGGCAAGACGGAAAGACCCCGUGAACCUUUACUACAGCUUGACACUGAACAUUGAGCCUUGAUGUGUAGGAUAGGUGGGAGGCUUUGAAGCGUGGACGCCAGUCUGCGUGGAGCCGACCUUGAAUACCACCCUUUAAUGUUUGAUGUUCUAACCUGGCGCCGUGAUCCGGCGUGGGGACAGUGUCUGGUGGGUAGUUUGACUGGGGCGGUCUCCUCCCAAAGUGUAACGGAGGAGCACGAAGGUCAGCUAAUCCUGGUCGGACAUCAGGAGGUUAGUGCAAUGGCAUAAGCUGGCUUGACUGCGAGAGUGACGGCUCGAGCAGGUGCGAAAGCAGGUCAUAGUGAUCCGGUGGUUCUGUAUGGAAGGGCCAUCGCUCAACGGAUAAAAGGUACUCCGGGGAUAACAGGCUGAUACCGCCCAAGAGUUCAUAUCGACGGCGGUGUUUGGCACCUCGAUGUCGGCUCAUCACAUCCUGGGGCUGAAGUAGGUCCCAAGGGUAUGGCUGUUCGCCAUUUAAAGUGGUACGCGAGCUGGGUUUAGAACGUCGUGAGACAGUUCGGUCCCUAUCUGCCGUGGGCGCUGGAGAAUUGAGGGGGGCUGC